UGAUUUACACUUGUACACACAAGUGAUAUAAAUAUCUAAUGGUCAGGUUUCAUUAAAUGCCCUGGUCCUGUCCCCACGGGAGGAGCAGAGACCUUCAGUUUGAAAAGUGCAUUUAAUGCAGCAAGUGUGAAACUUCUCUAUACCAUGGAUAAAUUUGUAUACCAUGACAAUAUUUCCUUUGCUAUUGAUGAGCAAAUGUUGAGCAGGCGAUCGAUCAGCAGGUUGCCCUCCACUUGGAGCAUGACAGAUAAAUCUUCAGGGUGUUGUUUGUUCUGAAUGGACUUUACACUGAAAAACUGUGCAGGAUCCAGACCAGUUUCCUAGUUUUCAGUGCUCAGAGUUUCUUGCAUAUUUAAAAUCCUGCACACAGACACACAAACUCUGACCAUGUAGGGCUGCGCUGAUUCAGGUUCCCUGUCGCUGUGAGAAUCCUCCGGACAGUCUGUUCCCUCUGCAGCCUCUCAGAUCUGGAGUCUUCUGGGAAAUGAGGCGCUCUGGCAUGUGACGGUCCUCCAGAUUCUGGACCUGGAUCAGAGACAGAAAUGCAGCAGGGAUGGCUCCGCCCCCUCUAUCUGCAAGUCCUGAAGUCAACACUGCAGCUGUUUGCUGACUGCAGAUCAUAUGCAAAUGACGGCGCCAGUGGAGAGCUGCGUUACCUGAUGACUGAUGAUAAAGACCCACAGACGUGUAUUUGAAAUCACAGCAGACAGCAGAACGUCUGAUGAAGACCAGUUGUCAGCUUUAUAUUUCACACUUUCUCUCAGAUUCAGAGUGAAUGUGUCCUAUUGUCCUG
rnacentral:lncRNA from 1 species